AUUGAACGCUGGCGGCAGGCCUAACACAUGCAAGUCGAACGGCAGCACAGAAGAGCUUGCUCUUUGGGUGGCGAGUGGCGGACGGGUGAGUAAUGUCUGGGAAACUGCCCGAUGGAGGGGGAUAACUACUGGAAACGGUAGCUAAUACCGCAUAACGUCGCAAGACCAAAGUGGGGGACCUUCGGGCCUCACACCAUCGGAUGUGCCCAGAUGGGAUUAGCUAGUAGGUGGGGUAAUGGCUCACCUAGGCGACGAUCCCUAGCUGGUCUGAGAGGAUGACCGGCAACACUGGAACUGAGACACGGUCCAGACUCCUACGGGGGGCAGCAGUGGGGAAUAUUGCACAAUGGGCGCAAGCCUGAUGCGGCCAUGCCGCGUGUAUGAAGAAGGCCUUCGGGUUGUAAAGUACUUUCAGCGGGGAGGAAGGCGGUGAGGUUAAUAACCUCGCCGAUUGACGUUACCCGCAGAAGAAGCACCGGCUAACUCCGUGCCAGCAGCCGCCGUAA
rnacentral:rRNA from 1 species